CUUCGUUCAACAGUUACUCACAUUCCGUGAAAACUUACCCACUGACACAUGAACGAUUCUCGAUUGGUCGACUGACGGGCUAGUUCGCAACGCACGCUAUUCCAACAGCGCUGUAAUGGCUACUCCACAAUCUCUGUAGCUACGUCAGCGACAUCUACAGAUUGCGCUAAUCAAGAAAAGAGCAUAUAAUUUAAAUUUGAAAAGGGCGCUAGCCCCAUAACCAGGGUUAUGUGAUCCGAUUUGGAAUUUCGAUUAAUGUUGGAAGUGAAACGAAUGCGUUUAGAUGAUUAACACCCUAAUUUAAUGUAUAUCGAACAUUAUGUAAAUAUUAAACUAUUAAUAACAAUGUAAAGAAGAGAAAAACAAAAGGUAAAAAAUUUGUUGUUUAAAUUUUUCUCAAUAAUUGUUCUACGUAUAUAGUUUUGUCUUUGCAAUAAAUAGAUCAGAAAGUCAUAAAAUUGGAGAGAAUUUUAUCGAUAGAAAUUUUUAUUGUUAAAAUUGUAUAAUAUUGAAAAUAUUUUCUGUAUUAAGAGAUAUUAAACAAACAAGUUCUAUCCACAUGUAUCUUCAUACAAUAUAAAAUUUCAUGUAUAAUUCAAUCAAAUCUAUAUUUAUAUCUAUACUUAACUAUAAAAUUAUUUAUCAUUUGGUAGGGGUAUUCUACGAUAUAUAAAAUCGUGUAUAACUUAUUAAUAUAUAUAAUAUUAGGACAUCCUUAUCGUGCAAUCCUAUUGUUUUUUUUAUGUACAUGCAAAUAUAAUGUACAUAUUAAAAAUCUCACGAGAUUAAAUGAAUAGCUGAGGUCAACUUUCUUGUAAACCAACCAAGCCAUUGUAAGAUAUAUUAAUGCUUACAUCUUAAAACAUUAUAAUAUGAUAACGCACGACAUGAAAAGAUAUAGAAUUGCCCGAUAUAUCAUAUACAUAAUCGUCUUAUUGUGACUCAAGAAUGAAUCUUUUUCGAGUUAUGGCAUAUUUUUCUUUUCUAUGAAUUACUAGCAAUAGAAAUAAAUUUUUUCUAAUGUUUUUGUAAAGAAGUCAUAGAGCUCUCUAAUUGCAGGCCGAUUCUAUCGAGGAAGAAUGCAUUUACCGCUUAUUUAUUAAUAAUGAUUAAUUAAUAACUUGUUAAAGAGUUAAAAAUGUGGUUUGUUCUACGAAAUACAAAAAUCGCUUGGCUAACACCGAUACGCUCAGUUAAUCUCCGAUUGCAAUACUUUCUUCUUUUCGGAAAGAGUCGAUCUUACUGCAAAGUGCAAGGGCCUAGUCGUCUCAUAGAUGGUGCAGAUUUUUCCCAUAUCCUUUUUUAUAUGAGAUGCCUUUGGGUAGCGUAUACCUGGAUAAAUAGUGGAACAAAGCGUCAGUCAGUGACUCUGAAAAAUAUGGCUCACACAGCCAAUUCUGAAUUUGUGAAUCAAGAUUGUAUCACCAAAUCAAUCUCAACCUUCUUAUCUAACAUAAUGGAAACGUUUUUAAUUAAAUUAUACAACAUGUCUUUUAAAAUCAGUAUUAAGAAAUCAUAUCGAUAACGAUAAUCUUUUAUUUUUUCUACGUUCUUA